GUCACGGAGCAGUGAGGGAAGGUGAGCGUGUUGUCAGCUUAGUGGUCCCUUAUCCGAAGGGAAGACAUUCAGGUGUUUCCCUCUGAGGGUCUGAGUAUUCCCAGGUGGCAUGGGUGAUGCUGGCUGUUCCUUUCGAGCUUGGAUCUAACUUCCAGGCUGAAACGCAGUGUGCAGUACAGGACAUCAAGACCCGAGCUAUCUCUGGAGUGACUCUGUUUCUCUUUUAGAGGUGCUAUAGGUGGCUUCAGAGAACGGGUGGAAGCAUCUGCCAUGUGGGGUGCCACAGGCAAGGUGGGCUGUGAUAGUCUUCAGAACAGGAGCAAAGCAGGUCACUUGAAUGCUGUUUGGUUCCUGAGACAGGUGUUGUAGAGGAGAAAAGCUUUAAAUAUUCAAAGCUGAAGCAAAAAUAAAUA